GGGCCGCUGGCUCAAUUGGUAGAGCAACGGACUCUUAAUCCGUGGGUUGCUGGUUCAAGUCCAGCGCGGCCCA
rnacentral:tRNA from 1 species